rnacentral:hammerhead_ribozyme from 1 species
ACACUGCUGAGGAAUCCCACAAUAGGAUGAAACGGCCCGUCCAGUGC